AUUAAAGUUGUUGCGGUUAAAAAGCUCGUAGUUGGAUCUCGGUUUCACUCAGGUGGUACACCUUGCGGUGUUCACUAUCUGGGUGGACGUUUCUGUUGGUUCGCUCUUGGUGCUCUUCAUCGGGUGCCAUUUGGUGGCCAGCACGUUUACUUUGAAAAAAUUGGAGUGCUCAAAGCAGGCGUUACAGCCUGAACAUUAGUGCAUGGAAUAAUGGAAUAGGAUCUCGAUUCUAUUUCGUUGGCUUUCGGAGUCGAGGUAAUGAUUAAUAGGGACAGACGGGGGCAUUCGUACUGCGACGCUAGAGGUGAAAUUCUUGGAUCGUCGCAAGACGAACUACUGCGAAAGCAUUUGCCAAGAAUGUUUUCAUUAAUCAAGAACGAAAGUUAGAGGUUCGAAGGCGAUCAGAUACCGCCCUAGUUCUAACCAUAAACGAUGCCAACCGGCGAUCCGUCGUCGUUAAUUGAAUGACUCGACGGGCAGCCUCCGGGAAACCAGAGUGUUUGGGUUCCGGGGGAAGUAUGGUUGCAAAGCUGAAACUUAAAGGAAUUGACGGAAGGGCACCACCAGGAGUGGAGCCUGCGGCUUAAUUUGACCCAACACGGGAAAUCUCACCAGGCCCGGACACCGGAAGGAUUGACAGAUUGAGAGCUCUUCUUGAUUCGGUGGGUGGUGGUGCAUGGCCGUUCUUAGUUGGUGGAGCGAUUUGUCUGGUUAAUUCCGAUAACGAACGAGACUCUGGCCUACUAACUAGAAGGUCUAUCCUUUAUGGGUAGGCCUCUGCUUCUUAGAGGGACGGGCGGCGUUUAGCCGCACGAGAAUGAGCAAUAACAGGUCUGUGAUGCCCUUAGAUGUUCUGGGCUGCACGCGCGCUACACUGAAGGAAUCAGCAUGUUCUCCCCUCCCUGAAAAGGGCGGGUAACCCGUUGAAACUCCUUCGUGAUGGGGAUUGGAGAUUGUAAUUAUUCUCCAUGAACGAGGAAUUCCCAGUAGGCGCGAGUCAUCAGCUUGCGUCGAUUACGUCCCUGCCCUUUGUACACACCGCCCGUCGCUACUACCGAUCGAGUGAUUUAGUGAGGACUUCGGACUGGUCUUCAUGUUGGCUUCGGUCGGCUCGAAGUUCCGGAAAGAUGCCCAAACUUGAUCACUUAGAGGAAGUAAAAGUCGUAACAAGGUUUCCGUAGGUGAACCUGCGGAAG
rnacentral:rRNA from 1 species